GUAACGGACAGCGCCGACCAUAGACGUAAUAAAAGUAGACGAGCGGGAGGUGUGAGAUUAAAACAAUAGCUUCACGUAAUUUUCCAGACAGCACAAACAUUUAAAAGUGGUGCAUAAAAUGUUUUAGAGCUGUAAUAUAUAAAAAAAUUUAAGCAAUAAGCAAAUUGCUAAUCAUAGUUAAAAACUUGAGGCAUAAUAUAGACGCUUUCCCAAGAUCUUGACGGAAAUAAUUUGAAGUACACUUGCAAAUGAAAUGAAUGACAAAAUUAUCUCUCUAGAGCAUUAAUAAUGAAAUCUCUUAUUUUGUUAUUUCUGAAUAAUUUCAAAGUAAGCGCUACAAUCAAUAGCUGCAUUCAGCAGAAAAAGCAAUUCUACAACUAUUGUAAGAAUCUUUAUCAAUUGGUCAUUCUUAAUUUAUAUAAUUUGUUUAAACAGAUUCUGCAAAAACUAAAGACAAAAACUAGUCAUAUUAAAAAAUCCUGCAACAGUUGUAAAGCUACUUUUUCUGCUGAAUACAGCUUAUUACUCACACAUCUGUAUUAAAAUGUACUAAUCAAAUGCAUUUUUGUUUACAGAUAUAAUUCAUAUUAAUCAUAGAAACGUCUUUAGGCUUCAUCAUAACAUGUUUUCGCAAGAUAAAAACCUUUGGCAUUACAAAUCUUAAUGCAUAUUCUGAGAAAAUAAAAUGAAUUCUCACAUUG
rnacentral:lncRNA from 13 species